UACGUCAUUGUAGGAAUAUCCACUGCUUUUCAUUUCUUCUGCUUUUGACUGCUCUUAGCUGCACUUAUCCAUACAUUAACCAGAGGUUUCAGAUUGUGUGACCCAUUGUGUAAAGAACAUGGUGAGAAUGCAGCUGCUUCUGGGACAGACUUCACAGUGAAGUGGAAGGGGAAUUUUGGAAGAAAAUGAAGUAGCACGUGUAAAGCCCUGUGCUGGGGUGACUUUAUGAUGCUGAAUUAUAUCCCCAUUCAUCUGUUUAGCCCAGAAAUAAGUUUCUUCACUCUGAGAGUGAAGUGGGGGAGAAGAAGCUCUCAGUUUGUUUUCAGAAACUGCACUUUGUCCCCUGCAUUCUUUCUCACAGACAGUGUUGUCUGCAGCACAGAGAGAGCUCUCCUUUGCUUUUAGUUGGUUUUUUUUAGCCAGCUGAGGCAGAGAAGUUCCCGGGACUGUGGCUUUUCUUUUUUUGGAAUUGAUCAGCCUUGCUUUGGACCAAAAACACAGAAGAACACCAGGAGCUCACUCCUGUGGCCCACUGGGGCCCAGGACAUGGCAUUUUCCAGCACAGGAGGGACUGAUAGAGACUGAGCAAGCUGAGCUACAUCCCACAAAACAAACUUUCUCUGAAUUUGCCAUCUCUUCAAAACAAUGAGAUAUUCCAUUGUUUAAUAUUAUUCAUUUUUUUCAUGUUUGUAAGUACUUUGCUUGUUAAAUAAACAGUUUUCCUGCUUUUC